CCGCAUUUUACAACAUUUCACAACAAAACUUCGGAAUAUUACUAAUUUUGUGGUUUAUCAAGAUAAUUUUCUGUAAUGGACCUUUCCCCUUUUGAGUGAAAUUUUGAUCUAGACAAAUCUGGACAAAAAUUUCAUCACAGCUUGAAAGAGCAUGGUUCAAAUAUAUUAUUCCAGUUAGGUAUAAAGUCCAGUGGUGUACUGGUGUAGUUUUAGAAGAAUUUUUAUCAAUUUUAUGAACAUUUCGAAGCUUGGUUUAUAACAUCAGACAAAACUCUAACUGAAACUUUUAGUUUUUAGAAAUCUUACUGUUCAUAUUUCUGGUACAUUCCAAGGUUCCCGCCUGAAACCAACGGUCGUUUGGCCAGAAUAAUUUUCUCCUUUCCUUAAUUCCUUUCGCCCGUAAAAUGAAUGUUGACCAAUUUCUGAAGAUCACAGGUUGGCAUUUCGAAAACCAGAUUAAGCCGCCGGUCUACCACAGCCCUUACCUUGUAAUAAAUCUCGUCAACUACGGCAUGAUAUGUCUUGAAUUCGUACAACUGAUUUUUGAAGUACGGUGAUGCUUGGAUAUUUGUUAAAAUCAUAGUGUUUAAAUUCAUAGUUCGUUCGUUUCCCCAUACCGGUAACGUAUUAGGCUUCUUCUUUGUCUCCCCGUCCAUGAUAAAAUGCAGUAAAAUAAACAAUUUGCACGAAAUAAAUAAAAAAAUAAACGGAAUUCGCAAAGUGUGAAUGAAUAAAUUUUUCACUGGAAAAAUA